rnacentral:rRNA from 1 species
GACGAACGCUGGCGGCGUGCUUAAUACAUGCAAGUCGAACGGAAAGGCCCGGCUUUUGUGGGGUGCUCGAUUGGCGAACGGGUGAGUAACACGUGAGUAACCUGCCCUUGACUGUGGGAUAACUUCAGGAAACUGGGGCGAAUACCGGAUAUGAGCUCCUGCUGCAUGGGGGGGGUUGGAAAGUUUCGGCGGUUGGGGAUGGACUCGCGGCUUAUCAGCUUGUUGGUGGGGUAGUGGCUUACCAAGGCUUUGACGGGUAGCCGGCCUGGGAGGGUGACCGGGCACAUUGGGACUGCGAUACGGAGCAGAAUCGUACGGGAGGCAGCAGUGGGGAAUAUUGCACAGUGGGCGGAAGCGUGAUGCAGCAACGCCGCGUGCGGGAUGCCGGGCUUCGGGUUGUAAACCGAUGUCGACUGUGACGAAGCGUGAGUGACGGUACUGGGUCAAGAAGCACCGGCUAACUACGUG